ensembl:lncRNA
AUACGGAAUAAAAGUACAUAACACAGUGGGGAUUUUCCACCAUCUGCUAUAGAUAGCAUCUCCAGUGUAGUACAAGAACUAAAGUUAGAAGAAAAAAUGUCCAUGUCAUCAGGGGAGCGCUGGAAAUGAUUACUGAGAGACAACACUGGAAUCCAAGUUUGGAGAAUAAACACCUUUUCAAAUCCAUUCACUCAUAAGUCUGUCACUCAAAGACGCUUCAGAUUAUGGAAAACAAGGAGUAGAGGAAACUCAAAAUAUGUGCAGCAAGGCAGACUUUGGCAUUUUCAGUUCGGUUACUGAGUGUUUAACUUGUGGAUUGCCAUAGCCCACAGAGGCUUGAACAUCAGUCAAGCUCCUCC